rnacentral:rRNA from 1 species
UUGGAGGGCAAGUCUGGUGCCAGCAGCCGCGGUAAUUCCAGCUCCAAUAGCGUAUAUUAAAGUUGUUGCAGUUAAAAAGCUCGUAGUCGAAUUUCGGGGUUCUACCGUUGGUCGGGCUAUUGUCUGUACUGGCGUGUAGAAUUUCUACCUUCUGGGGAACUAUCAUGUUAUUAAUUUAGCGUGGUAGGAAACCAGGACCUUUACCUUGAAAAAAUUAGAGUGUUCAAAGCAGGCUUAUGUCUGAAUACAUUAGCAUGGAAUAAUAAAAUAGGACGGUGGUCCUGUUUUGUUGGUUUCUGAAUCACCGUAAUGAUUAAUAGGGAUAGUUGGGGGCAUUAGUAUUCAAUUGUCAGAGGUGAAAUUCUUGGAUUUAUUGAAGACUAACUACUGCGAAAGCAUUUGCCAAGGAUGUUUUCAUUAAUCAAGAACGAAAGUUAGGGGAUCGAAGACGAUCAGAUACCGUCGUAGUCUUAACCAUAAACUAUGCCGACUAGGGAUCGGACGAUGUUAACUUUUCUUGACUCGUUCGGCGCCUUACGGGAAA